rnacentral:rRNA from 1 species
UGGGGAAUUUUCCGCAAUGGGCGCAAGCCUGACGGAGCAAUACCGCGUGAGGGAGGAUGGCUUUUGGGUUGUAAACCUCUUUUCUCAAGGAAGAAGUCCUGACGGUACUUGAGGAAUCAGCAUCGGCUAACUCCGUGCCAGCAGCCGCGGUAAUACGGAGGAUGCAAGCGUUAUUCGGAAUUAUUGGGCGUAAAGCGUCCGCAGGUGGUGCCUCAAGUCUGCUGUCAAAGACCGAAGCUCAACUUCGGGCAGGCAGUGGAAACUGAAGCACUAGAGUACGGUAGGGGUAGAGGGAAUUUCCAGUGUAGCGGUGAAAUGCGUAGAUAUCGGAAGGAACACCAGUGGCGAAGGCGACUUCCUGGACCAAUACUGACGCUGAGGUGCGAAAGCGUGGGGAGCAAACAGGAUUAGAUACCCGUGUAGUCC